ensembl:snoRNA SNORD18 Small nucleolar RNA SNORD18
CAACUAUGAUGAUGUUUCAACUUCAGGUCCGUGUUUCUGAAUCCUGAUUGUAUGGAAGUUCUGAGCAA